GUUUGUGUGUGCACAAGAGGGGUGGACACAGAACAAAGAUGGCCGACCUCUGGAUGACAUCUACACACAUCUGCACAUCAGAGCUACUGGUGACGUACACAUAACACACAGCAUGAGGUCAUGCAGCCUGAAGCGGUGAAGCCAGCCGAUACAGAGACAACCAUUACACCUUGUGACAUGUUCAAACACCCCUCUAUAGAAGACAAAGCCAUAAGGACAGUACUGACCAAUGGAAUCGCAGGAAUUGGAAAAACCUUUCCUGUGAACAAGUUUGUGUUGGACUGGUGUAAAGGAGAAACCAAUCAAGAUGUGCAUCUCAUUUUCCCCUUCACCUUCCGCCAGCUGAAUUUAAAGAAGGAGGAAAAGUGGUGUUUGGCAGAGCUCAUUCAUGAAUGUAUCUGGGGGA